rnacentral:misc_RNA from 1 species
GCAAAAGGCUUCACACAGACGUAUAGGAUAGAUUACCAGGAAACCUUUGCUCCUGUUGCUAAAAUGCAUACCAUCAGAAUUUUACUAUCAUAUGCAGUAAAUAUUGAGUGGGAUUUGCAGCAGUUUGAUGUAAAAAAUGUCUUUCUGCAUGGUGACUUGGAAGAAGAAUUGUAUAUGAAAAUUCCUCUAGGGUUUGAGGAUGAGAAGAUUAGAGGGAAAGUUUGCACACUGAAGAAAGCAUUGUAUGGUCUAAACCAGUCACCUAGGACAUGGUUUGACAGGUUCAGUAAGGCGAUGGUUUCCUUUGGAUACUGCCAAAGCAAU